rnacentral:rRNA from 1 species
GAUGAACGCUGGCGGCGUGCCUAAUACAUGCAAGUCGAGCGAACAGACGAGGAGCUUGCUCCUCUGACGUUAGCGGCGGACGGGUGAGUAACACGUGGAUAACCUACCUAUAAGACUGGGAUAACUUCGGGAAACCGGAGCUAAUACCGGAUAAUAUAUUGAACCGCAUGGUUCAAUAGUGAAAGACGGUUUUGCUGUCACUUAUAGAUGGAUCCGCGCCGCAUUAGCUAGUUGGUAAGGUCACGGCUUACAAAGGCGACGAUGCGUAGCCGACCUGAGAGGGUGAUCGGCCACACUGGAACUGAGACACGGUCCAGACUCCUACGGGAGGCAGCAGUAGGGAAUCUUCCGCAAUGGGCGAAAGCUUGACGGAGCAACGCCGCGUGAGUGAUGAAGGUCUUCGGAUCGUAAAACUCUGUUAUUAGGGAAGAACAAAUGUGUAAGUAACUAUGCACGUCUUGACGGUACCUAAUCAGAAAGCCACGGCUAACUACGUG